rnacentral:tRNA from 2 species
GCCUAGAUGGCGGAAUUGGUAGACGCGCACGACUCAAACUCGUGUACUUCGGUGUGUGGGUUCGAUUCCCACUCUGGGUA